rnacentral:rRNA from 1 species
AAAAAAAUGUAAUAAUAAAUAUUAGAAUAGUAUUAGUUAUGUUCUUAAAACUUAAAAAAUUUGGUAGUAUUUUUUCUAAUCAGAGGAACUUGUUUUAUAAUUGAUAAUCCCCAUUAAAUCUUACUUAAUUUAUUAAAAUUUGUAUACCGUCGUCAUCAGAAUAUCUAAAAAAAGAAAAAAUUUUCUAAAAUUCAUAAUAUUAAUAAUGUCAGAUCAAGGUGCAGUUUAUAAUUAAGAAAAAAUUAGUUACAAUAAAAUAAUUUAUGUUGAAUAUAUUAAUGAAACUUUAUAUUGAAAUUGGAUUUGAAAGUAAAUUUAAAAAUUAAAUUAAAUUGAUUUAGAUCAAAAAUAUGC